CAAAGCCGCAGUCCUCGGUCCAGGUAGGCAACAUCAACAAGGGCUAUAACACACCACCCGAAGGCAGUGCCACGUUCCAAUGUCAUUAUCUUACCACCCGAACCGAUGCUGGCCCAGUGAAAUGCGAGUGCACAACCCAAGAAGGGAAGAUAAUCACAAAACACCAAGUCUGAUCUAAUACCCUUCCCUUUCAACAAUUUCACGUACUUUUUCACUCUCUUUUCAAAGUUCUUUUCAUCUUUCCAUCACUGUACUUGUUCGCUAUCGGUCUCUCGCCAAUAUUUAGCUUUAGAUGGAAUUUACCACCCACUUAGAGCUGCAUUCCCAAACAACUCGACUCGUCGAUAGAAAUCUACAAAGCACUGGACACCCCGCCAGACGGGAUUCUCACCCUCUGUGACGUCCUGUUCCAAGGAACAUAGACAAGGGCCAGCACCAGAAAACUAUCUUCAAAUUACAACUCGGGCACCAAAGGUACCAGAUUUCAAAUUUGAGCUUUUGCCGCUUCACUCGCCGUUACUGAGGCAAUCCCUGUUGGUUUCUUUUCCUCCGCUUAUUGAUAUGCUUAAGUUCAGCGGGUAGUCCUACCUGAUUUGAGGUCAAACUUUAGAAGGAGUUGUCAGGCCGAGCUGAUA
rnacentral:rRNA from 1 species